ACCUGGCUGGCUCAGUUGGAGAGUGGGAGAUUGUUGACCUCAAAGUUGUGAGUUCAAGCCCCAUGCUGGGCG
rnacentral:tRNA from 1 species